rnacentral:lncRNA from 1 species
UUAGCUAUCUUUAGGUACUCAUUGUAUAACUUCAUACUAUGUGGACUGAAAGAUGUAGCCCAUAAUCUAGCAGAUUCUUCUUUCUCCCUCAACUGGUUCAUAAGCUUAAUCCUUAUAUCAUCAAGCAUGUUUAUGAUUGGCUUCUGUCUAGCUUGUAAAAUCCAUGCAUUUACAUAUUCCACGAAAUUAUUGUCAACUCUUUGGUUCUUACACACUGUGUUAAAAUAGGCUCUACACCAUGCUUGAGGAGGAUAUUUGAGUAAAGCUUCAGCAGCUUACUUAUCCAGUUUGCCUAUGCUCUUCAACUGGUCCUUGAAGUCUUCCUCAUAUGAGCACCAUGA